rnacentral:lncRNA from 1 species
UUCAACUUGUAGUUGAACCUUUUGGUGAAGGCAAGUAGGCUGAGUCGUUGUUCAACUUUAGUUGAACCUUGUAAUUUUUUUUUGCGAGGGCGCAUAGCCUGAGUUCAAGUUCAACUUAUAGUUGAACUUUUUUUUGGUGAAGGCACGUAGCCUGAGUCGUUGUUCAACCGUAGUUGAACAUUGUAAAUUAAAAAAAAAAUUGUUGGCGAAGGCGCAUAGCCUGAGUCCCAGUUCAACUUGUAGUUGAACUUUUUGGUGAAGGCACGUAGCAUGAGUUACUGUUCAACCGAAGUUGAAUUUUGUGAUUUUUGUUGGUGAAGGCGCAUAGCCUGAGUACUUGUUCAACUCAUAGUUGAAUUUUUUUCUGAAGGCGCAUAGCCUGAGUCCCAGUUCAACUUAUGGUUGAACUUUUUGGUGAAGGCGCGUAGCCUGAGUUGCUGUUCAACCGUAGUUGAACCU